CUAGUACUCCCUCCAUCCGGAAAUACUUGUCCUAAAGAUGAAUGUAUCUAGACUUAUUUUAGUUAUAGAUACAUUUAAUAUAUUCAUUUUUAGGACAAGUAUUUCCGGACGGAGGGAGUAGCAA
rnacentral:pre_miRNA from 1 species